rnacentral:rRNA from 1 species
AAUGGAUAUCCCCUAGGUUGCGGGCGAGCGAAGCGGGAAGAGCUCAAAUUUAUAAUCUGGCACCUUCGGUGUCCGAUUUGUAAUCUCUAGAAAUGUUUUCCGCGUUGGACCGCACACAAGUCUGUUGGAAUACAGCGGCAUAGUGGUGAGACCCCCGUAUAUGGUGCGGACGCCCAGCGCUUUGUGAUACAUUUUCGAAGAGUCGAGUUGUUUGGGAAUGCAGCUCAAAUUGGGUGGUAAAUUCCAUCUAAAGCUAAAUAUUGGCGAGAGACCGAUAGCGAACAAGUACCGUGAGGGAAAGAUGAAAAGCACUUUGGAAAGAGAGUUAACAGUACGUGAAAUUGUUGGAAGGGAAACGCUUGAAGUCAGACUUGCUUGCCGAGCAAUCGGUUUGCAGGCCAGCAUCAGUUUUCCGGGAUGGAUAAUGGUAGAGAGAAGGUAGCAGUUUCGGCUGUGUUAUAGCUCUCUGCUGGAUACAUCUUGGGGGACUGAGGAACGCAGUGUGCCUUUGGCGGGGGUUUCGACCUCUUCACACUUAGGAUGCUGGUG